GGGGCACGGCCUUCUCCUUCUCAUCGCUGCGGUACACCACGUCCAGCAGGGAGGCCAGCACCUGCAACGCCACAGGGGACAGCCCCAGCAGGUGGCACUGUCACACAGGCCAGCCUGGGCAGGGGACAGCCCCCAGGAGGUGGCACUGUCACACAGGCCAGCCUGGGCAGGGCACAGCCCCCAGCAGGUGGCACUGUCACACAGGCCAGCCUGGGCAGGGGACAGCCCCCAGGAGGUGGCACUGUGACACAGGCCAGCCUGGGCAGGGGACAGCCCCCAGCAGGUGGCACUGUCACACAGGCCAGCCUGGGCAGGGGACAGGCCCCAGGAGGUGGCACUGUCACACAGGCCAGCCUGGGCAGGGGACAGCCCCCAGCAGGUGGCACUGUGACACAGGCCAGCCUGGGCAGGGGACAGCCCCCAGGAGGUGGCACUGUCACACAGGCCAGCCUGGGCAGGGGACAGCCCCAGGAGGUGGCACUGUGACACAGGCGUGCACCAGACCAGCCUGGAAAUGAUGUGUCAAGCCCUGAGGUUUGGCCUGCAGCUUCCCAGGAAAUAUUAUUAAAUAUUUAAUAAUAUUUGUGAGAGGUUUGAUAAUAUUUGUGAGAGGGCUCUUCAGGUGUGCUUUGUAAAGCAAAGGGUUUAAUAAAACAGAAAACAACAAAUGAUACAGAAACAAAACAAAAGCUGAGCACAGGUGUCAGAGAAGCUCCCCAAAAGACACCCCAAAAAGCACUGAGAAGCCUCGUGCUCUUCCUUAAAUAUUGAAUGAUUUAGGUGGGGUUUUUGGCAAACAGUCCCACAGAAAAUAGUUACAUUUCUGAGGGACAGCUAAAGAGAGCCAUCGGUGCUUUUGUCUUGGCAUUGAGCCAUUUGCUGCCAGGACAGCAAAGAAGUUUCUGGUGUUCCUCCCUUACAAGGUCCUGGGGUGAAGCUGGAUCCCUUUUCCUCAUACAGAACACGUUUGCCUGGGUGUGGGAAAUGCCCUGCAGCAGAACUCCUGUUUGAUCUGCCAGGAAAAUCCUCCUCAGCUGAAAAACCCCAACAACCCCAGAGAAGAGAGGGCCCC